CCUACGGGAGGCAGCAGUGAGGAAUAUUGGUCAAUGGACGAGAGUCUGAACCAGCCAAGUAGCGUGAAGGAUGACUGCCCUAUGGGUUGUAAACUUCUUUUAUAUGGGAGUAAAAUGUUCCACGUGUGGGAUUGUGGAUGUACCAUAUGAAUAAGGAUCGGCUAACGACGUGCCAGCAGCGGCGGUAAUACGGAGGAUGCGAGCGUUAUACGGAUUUAUUGGGGUUAAAGGGAGCGUAGGGGGAUUGUUAAGUCAGUUGUGAAAGUUUGCGGCUCAACCGUAAAAUUGCAGCUGAAACUGGCAGUCUUGAGUGCAGUAGAGGUGGGCGGAAUUCGUGGUGUAGCGGUGAAAUGCGUAGAUAUCGCGAAGAACUCCGAUUGCGAAGGCAGUUCACUGGACUGCAACUGACACUGAGGCUCGAAAGUGUGGGUAUCAAACAGGAUUAGAUACCCGAGUAGUC
rnacentral:rRNA from 1 species